UACGGAGGGUGCGAGCGUUUGUUCGGAAUCACUGGGCGUAAAGCGCGUGUAGGCGGCCCACUAAGUCUGAUGUGAAAGCCCGGGGGCUCACCCCCCGGAAGUGCAUUGGAAACUGGUGGACUCGAGUCCCGGAGAGGAGAGUGGAAUUCCUGGUGUAGCGGUGAAAUGCGUAGAUAUCAGGAGGAACACCGGUGGUGUAGACGGCUUUCUGGACCGUAACUGACGCUGAGACACGAAAGCGUGGGUAGCAAACAGG
rnacentral:rRNA from 1 species